rnacentral:lncRNA from 1 species
AAUUAGUCUUUUACUCCGGUCUCUCAAAAUCCUUAUCCCUAGAAUAUAGGGAGCUUCUCCUAGGUCCUUCAUAGAGAAACACUUCCCAAGCCAGGACUUAACUUCCUGCAGAGUUGGAAUGUCAUUUCCUAUGAGUAGUAUGUCAUCAACAUACAAUACCAAAAAACUAACUAUACUCCCACUAGCCUUGACAUACACACAAGAUUCAUCUUCACUCCUAGAAAAGCCAAAUUCCUUGACUUUCUCAUCAAAGAAAAGAUUCCAUCUGUGAGGUGCUUGCUUUAAUCCAUAAAUGGAUUUCUCAGCUUACACACUCUAUUAGGGUAGUCGUUACUGACAAAACCUUCUGGAUGACUCAUGUAAACAUCUUCAGUCGACUUCCCAUUGAGGAUAGCGGUUUUAACAUCCAUUUGCCAUAUUUCAGAGUCAUGAAAUGCAGCUAUGGCUAACAUAACCCUAAUAGACUUAAUCUUGGCUACUGGAGAAAAAAUUCACAUCAUAAUCCACUCCAGGAGUUUGAGAGAAUCCCUUUGCAACCAGUCGAGCCUUAUAAGUGUGUACAUUACCAUCCAUGUCGGUCUUCUUCUUGAAGAUCCAAAGCCUCUUUCCUUUUAGCAGACUCAGGGCCUGCCAUGGCUUUCGCAUAAUUGUUAAUUUCAUCUAGACCUACUAGUGUCUCAUAACUAAUAAGUGUCUCACCUUCCGCAGUAAUAUGGAAACCAUAGUAAUGCUCAGGUGCAUUCCUAAAUCUCGUGGAACGCCUCAGAGGUACAGACUCGUCAAUUGGCUCAACAGGAGUUUGCUCCUCAAGUUGAGGGCUAGGGUUUGAAGUUCCUUCACCACUUGACUCUUGAAGUUCUUCAAGGUCAAUUUGCCUCCCACUGUCUCCUUGUCUUAUCAACUCUCUCUCUCUCUCUCAAAAGACUCCUCUUCUUGCUACAAAGACCACAUUAUUACUAGGUAUGUAGAAGAGGUAACAAAAGGAUCUUUGUGGGUAGCCGAUGAAAAUACACCUCUCACUUCGGGGUUCUGGCUUAUCAUGAGACUCGCGUCUCGCGAAAGCCUCUCAACCCCAAAUUUUGAUGUGGUCUAGUUUGGGUACUUUACCAGUCCACAUCUCGUGAGGAGUUUUGUCAACUUUCUUUAUAGGGACUAGAUUAAGGAUAUGGGCGUCAAUCUCUAAGGCAUACCCCCAGAAUGAGAUUGGUAGCUAAGCUCGACUCAUCAUGGAACAAACCAUAUCCAACAAGGUUCGAUUAUGCCUCUCAGCUACACCAUUCAACUGUAGUGUCCUGGGAGGUGUCAAUUGUGAAACAAUCCCACAUUCCCUAAGAUAGUCGAGGAACUCAGAACUAUGAUACUCACCACCUCGAUCGAAUCGAAGCAUCUUAAUGUUCCUACCCAAUUGAUUCUCGACUUCCUGUUUAAAUUCCUUAAACCUUUCGAAAGUCUCUGACUUAUGCUUGAUUAAGUAGACAUAUCCAUAUCUACUGUAAUCAUCAGUAAAAGUCAAAUAAUAACGAUCAACAUCCCUUGCGGCAUGUUUGAAUGGUCCACACACAUUUGUGUGUACAAGAUCCAAAAAACCUUCACCCCUCUCACAAGAACCUGUGAAGGGUGACUUUGUCAUUUUUCCAAGUAAGCAUGAUUUGAAACUAUCAUCCGACUUUAGGUCAAAUGACUCCAAGACUCCAUCAUUUUGGAGUUGGCCUAUGCGUUUCUUUCAUAUAUGUCCAAGACGACAAUGCCAUAAUGAUGCUUUAUCCAAGUUAUUAUUAUUAAGUGAAUCAAUACACAAAACAUUAUUUCCUAAGUUAUCAACCACAGAUACAGUUUCAUACACACCAUCACAAGCUAAUGCUUUAAAAUAAAGAAUAUUAUUAAAGAAAGCAUUAAUCGAGCCAACUUCAUUAUCAAAUGAAAAGGUAAAACCUUGUUUAUACAAUGCAUGAAAGGAAAUAAUAUUUCUUGCCAUUUCACGCGAAUAACAACAGUUAUUCAAAUCUAAACUAAACCCACUACUUAGCGAUAAAGUAUAAACUCCAAUCUUGGUGACAGGUGAAGCUUUCCUGUUUCCCAUGAUCAAGUUUAUUCUUCCUUGCUCCACAUUCUCACUUCUUCUUAGUCCCUGCAAAUCAGAACAAAUAUGAAUACCACAACCGGUAUCAAGGACCCAAGAUUUAGAAUGGGGUGAGUUAUUAGAAAUGAUAGUGUAAAUACCUGCAUGGUUGGGUUUAACUUUCCCAUCCUUCACAUCUUGCUGGUACUUUGGGCAGUUCCGCUUCCAAUGUGACUUUUCAUGGCAAUAGAAGCAUUCAGCCUCUUUUGGGUCAGAAGAAGGAGUGAUGAAACCUUUCUUGGUUCCACUUGAAGAAGAGCCAUCAAGGGUCCUAACCUUGGUACCCUUCGAAGAACUCUUUCUCUUCUUCCCUCGUCCUUUCCCGAUUGCCAAGACAGGGGCGGAGUUGGUAGGAGUAGGAGUAGUAACAACCGCCUUACCCUUAAGACCACUUUCCGCGGUCUUUAAGAGUCCUUGAAGUUUGCUGAGAGUGACCUCUUCCUUGUUCAUGUGGUAUGUCAUGCGGAAUUGAUCAUAACAUGAAGGUAAGGAGUGCAAAAUGAUAUCUAUUGCAAGCUCCUCGGGGAAGUUCACAUUAAGCUUCAGCAAACGGUCCACAAAUCUUUGCAUUUUCUGCAUGUGGCCCGUGAUGGGUUCACCAUCCUUCAUGCGAGUUGUUAUCAUGGAGGAGAUGAUUUCAUACCUCUCUUGACGAGCACUUUGAUGGUAUCUUUCCAUCAAGUCUUGGUGCAUCUCAUAGGGGUAGAAAUCUUCAUAGGAUUUUUGGAGAUCCGCGGUCAUAGUGGCCAUCAUGAUGCAUGCCACUUUGGUGGCAUCCCUUUCAUGUGCCCUAAACUCAGCGAUCUCUUGAGGAGUAGCAACUGUCUCAUCAAUCUCCUUAAGCUCCUUAUCGAGGACAUAUUCCUUGUCCUCGUAGCGAGUAAUCAUUCUGAUGUUUCUGAUCCAUUCAUUAAAGUUGGAUCCAUCAAAAGUGACUUUCCCACACAAGUUCAUAAGAGUAAAGGAGCCAUUGGGAUUAGAGCCAGAAGCAGUAGUGUUUGCAGACAUCUGAAAAGAAGAAAGAAGGUUUUAGUUUAGAUAUAGAGAUAGUCCUUAAUAAAACACCCAAAUGUAGUAUUAAGGCUAGGAUCCAAUCACAAUAUAUUAUACUUAGAAGAGGUAUGCCGUAAUCUAAGUAAUAACAUAUUUGAAAGGUAGGUGAAUGACGAUUCACCAAUUUCCACCAAAGUCGAAAUAUUAAAAAUAUUUAAUUUGGUUUUUAGAAACUCCUAGAUUCUUUUGAGAUUCAAUGAACUUUUCAAAGGCAUGUUUCAAUCUCGAGUGUGCCCUCCAAGUUUUGUGACUGGGAUGCCGAGGAUCACAAAACGAGGUGUGAAGUAACCAUGCAAAUUACUUGGUACCCUUAAUAAAUUACCCCUCAAUCGAUGUGCCGGUUAACCACACACGCUCCAUCGAUACUAUGAUAAAUAUUAAGUCACCCUUUACCUACCUUGUUAAGUCCAAGUUAGUGUGCCGGUUAACCACACACGCUCCACUAACGACUUAGACAAAGUGUAAAGUGUAAUUUCAUGGAUUAGCACCUUAUUCACAUUUUUCCUAAGGUAACUAAGAUUGGGAAUUUAAUAAAACAUUUAGUUACUUUAUAAUAUUCAUCAUACUUUUAAUGAGAAUUUAUAAGUCCUUGUCUUACCCGUUCGGCUAACGACCCUCCACCAGUCAAGCAAGCGGUGGGUGAGAGUGGACACCCAUUAAGUUGCCAUUUUAUAGGCAACAACCUUAUACCCACCUUAUAGACCGGCUUCGUGAAUGAGGCGUACUAGCGGUAAGACGACUUUGAUCUUGUACAUAUAUAUAUUAUUAUUAACUUAUAAUAUUAUAAGUAUAAGGGUUGAAUUUUAACUUUUAAAAUUCUAAGGGUUGGAACUAAAGUUUUAAUAUGACUUUAGUUGUUCCAAAACUUGAGGGAAAGUUUUGGAAAAUUUCAAACUUUUCAUUUCUUGUAACUUAUGAGUUAAUGAGAGUAUUAAAAAUGAAGACUCUUCAUUUUUAUAACCCAUGUGUUCUUUUAAUGGUUUUUAAAACAAAAUGACUUUUGGUUUUCCAUAACUUGAGAAAAAGUUAUGGACUCCAUUAAAACACAUAAUGAUCAUGCAUUAAUCUACCACACAGGUUACAAAUAAUUCCUAUGAUCAUCUAAGCAUCAGAAGAUCAAGAACAUGAAUAUCCAUAUCAAAGUUUCAAGACCAUAUGAACACAUAUAAUCAUGAAAAAUUGAUAUUAGCCAUUGUAAAUGGAUUAGAACAAACAUUACACCAUCUAAAACAAGUUUAAUAACACCAAAACAAUUUAGGGUAAUGUUUCUAGUCCAUUACCAGCAGCAAAAGUCGAAAAUCCACAUUCUGGGCUCCUACUCGUCGAGUGCACGAACCUAAUCGGCGAGUAGGAUGAAGAUAUACAUGAACUCGGCAAGUCCCCCCAUGGACUCGGCGAGUUCAUCAGGCAGACAACAAGUUUUUCGACUUUUUCCAAUAUUUUUCAUCAAGUAUCAAAGAAACAAGCCUAGGCUCUUAUACCACGGAUGGGUUUUGAGCAUUCUAACACUUCCUAAGUGUACAUGCAACCCUAAUAACCUUGGAUCUAUGUUUGUCUAAUAAUCAUGCAAAGUUGUUUUCCAAGGUUAUGAACCUAUCUAGCAUACAUGGGGUACAAUUUUCUUUGUAUAAAAGAUAGAACUACAUACCUUGUUGUUGAAAGUGUUCCUUGAAACCUUGUGAGCCUAGCACCUCAAGUGUGAUGCCUCAAAUGCUUCACACAACACCAAAUGCAAAGAAUAAACUUGAUAGAAUACUCUAACAGAUGCAAAAUCGGCCAAGCCCUCUUGUUUCUUAGUGUAGCCGAUUUUGGGGAGAGUUACAUUGCUUAUAUAGUGUGUUGCAUUAGGUAAACCCUAAUGUUCCAUGACUCUUCAUUUCUUGAUCCAUGGGUUAACUCCAUGGAGCAUCCUAUGGGUGGAACCCAACUUGAUAAUCCAUGGAGCCUCUUAGCCCACUAUAUAAGAUAUGGAAGAUUUACAUAAUCUACCCAUAUAUUUAAUUAGUUAUCUUUUUAUCACUUAAUUAAUUCUAAAUUAAUUCUUGAUCAAAACUAAUUAAAUAAUAUUAUUAAUAUAUUAGAACUUAUAAUAUAUUAAUAAACCAUAUGUGUUAUUUCUCUCAUUUAGUUUAUCCAAUUGCAUGGUGCCAUGCAACCCAAAUGGACCAUGUCGGGUCGGGUCAAGUACUUACCAGAAAUAGUUAUGGACUUAGACACCUUAUCCAACAGUCUCCCACUUGGAUAAGUCUAAUAACUAUAACUGCAAUACUUCAGGAACCGAUCGGCAAUCGUAGCUCUUUCAAGGUCUCUCGGAACUGAGAAGAUGUUGAUACGCCAUUUAAGAUAAGUGAUCAUAUAAUCCUCUGUUCUAGAUAUCAGCCGGACAAUUACAUGGAACAAUGUCUUACUUAUUGUCCAGCAGUUUGUUUCCCGAUUUCCGAUUUGUUUGACAUAGAACUUAAUUGAACACAUCAACUUAGUUCUGACCGGGCCCGGUACAUGGGUCAAAACAAAAUCAUCGAGGGAGCCUAGAUAUCAGCUUCUAAUCCAAGAGGAACAGAUAAACUUCAACUCAUAUGUUUGUUCUACUACUAGUUGAAUUAUACACAAAAGCACGUUUUAUAACAUCGAGUUACCAAUGCAUUUUCGUACAAUCAAUGCAUAAUCAAUUCAUAGUCAACAAAUCAUAUCUCCAGGUUUGAAGACUUAUAUGAUAUUACCGUCUCACGAUCACUCGAUAUAAAAUUCCAUGAAGUGAUUCCAGUGAGCGUGGGUUGAGUCCAAUGCUCAGAACUUAUGAGCACUCAUGAUUGUUGUAGCCUUGUCCAACACCUUAGACCUCUACAACCCAUCAUGACAGUCUUGAUUCAUACCUACUUCCGACAUAUGACCGACUGUGGAGGUUUGAAUAAUAUGUUAUACCAAACAAAAUUAUUCUGGAAGUCAAAACAUGCAAAAGAAAUAUAGUAAACGAUCGACAAGAGAUAGCAACACUUUACUCAUAAAUAAAACACCUUUUAUUCAUCAUCUAAUGUCAAUUACACUUUACAAAUUUCUGGGUUAUCUAACUACUAAAUCUAAUAUCAUCCUUCAGCCCUAUGCUCCGAGCAUGCUGGAGAUGCUUAACCCGAGUCAGUCCCUUCGUGAGGGGAUCUGCUGGGUUCUCAUCCGAUGAUACCCUCUUUGCCACGAGGAGUCCUUCUUCGAUCCGAUGUCUGAUGAAAUGGUAUUUUCUGUCGAUGUGUCUGGAUCUCCCAUGAUCCCUUGGUUCCUUGGCUAAGGCAACAGCACUUUCACUAUCACAGAAAAUUUCCAUUGGCUCUUUAAUAGCUGGUACAACUCCAAGGUCUCCAAUGAAGUUCUUCAGCCAUAUCGCCUCCUUUGCUGCUUCACUAGCUGCAAUAUACUCUGAUUCACAAGUAGAAUCUGCCACUGUCUCUUGCUUGGAACUCUUCCAAGAAAUUGCUCCUCCGUUUAGGGUAAAGACCCAGCCCGACUGAGAGCGGAAAUUAUCCCUAUCAGUCUGGAAGCUAGCAUCACUAUACCCUACAACUCUCAAGUCAUCACUCCCACCGAGGGUAAGGACCCAGUCCUUAGUCCUCCGUAGGUACUUGAGGAUAUUCUUUACCGCAGUCCAGUGAGCCUUGCCAGGGUUCCCUUGAUACCUGCUAACCAUGCUCAAGGCAAAGGCUACAUCAGGUCGAGGACAAGUCAUAGCAUACAUGAUCGAGCCUACUGUCGAAGCAUAAGGUGUUCGACUCAUUUCUGCUAUCUCAGCCUCAGUGCUAGGGCUUUGUGUCUUACUCAAUCUGGCGUUACUCUGGAUGGGUAACUCUCCUUUCUUGGAGUUCUGCAUGCUGAAUCUCUUCAACACCUUGUCCAAGUAGGUACUUUGACUAAGUCCAAUUAGUCUUUUACUCCGGUCUCUCAAAAUCCUUAUCCCUAGAAUAUAGGGAGCUUCUCCUAGGUCCUUCAUAGAGAAACACUUCCCAAGCCAGGACUUAACUUCCUGCAGAGUUGGAAUGUCAUUUCCUAUGAGUAGUAUGUCAUCCACAUACAAUACCAAAAAGCUAACUAUACUCCCACUAGCCUUGACAUACACACAAGAUUCAUCUUCACUCCUAGAAAAGCCAAAUUCCUUGACCUUUUCAUCAAAGCAAAGAUUCCAUCUGCGAGGUG